CAACACGGGCUGAAAAUUGGAAAUCGGACCUGACACUCUUGGACACAGAUGUCGGCUACGGCAGCGGCUUCAAACGUACGCUUUGGUGACCAUAUUUCUAAUCGAGAGGUGAGGUAAUAUAUUUGUCUGUAUAAUAUUUUGUGAAUUGGUUUAGGACACAGUGGUGUCUUUUUUAAGCAAGUAUCCAUUGAGAGGGGUCAGAGGAUUAGCUCAAGCUCCAACAUAUCUAGCUGCUACCUUGCUUAACAUAGCUGCUACCUUAAUCGCGUUAUUUUUGGUGUUUUUUCCCCUGUGGCAUUUAUUCUGUGCACAUAAACACGUUUUCAGAAUUGCUCUGUGUAACUCAGACGGUUACUCUUGUGUGUUUUGCUACUAGUUGUGCGAACGAGCCAGACAAACCAGCUGGGAGGACGGAAGCACCUGUUUUCAAUUCCCCUUCUCCACCCGCGUUCAGUAACUAAAUACGGAUUCACCCCGUAAUAAGUCAACCGCAGACAGGGUCCUUCCACAACCACAUACUUAUGCCAGUAAAAGCUACAGCUUUUCUCCUCCGAUCCAAGAAGCCUGGACUGCAGUCACCAUCUCAACACACCAACCAAGAGAAAGGCGGAUGGCUCAAUUCAAUAUGGAAAAUUGCACAAUAAAAGUUCCAGGACAUGAAGGCUGCAUACUGUGAACGUCAACCUUCAGGGCACCGUCCUGCGCAGAAGACUUUCUGCCCCAAGAGGGAUGGCUGACAGCAGACACUCACAACCAGCACAGACGCCUCCAACCUCAGACUAGGCCCUUCACAGUUGCUGCACUUACCCACCUUCCCUGAGUUUUUGUGUGGUCAUGACAACUG